rnacentral:rRNA from 2 species
UUUAUCGGAGAGUUUGAUCCUGGCUCAGGACGAACGCUGGCGGCGUGCCUAAUACAUGCAAGUCGAGCGGAUUGAUGGGAGCUUGCUCCCUGAUAUCAGCGGCGGACGGGUGAGUAACACGUGGGUAACCUGCCUGUAAGACUGGGAUAACUCCGGGAAACCGGGGCUAAUACCGGAUAACUCAUUUCCUCGCAUGAGGAAAUGUUGAAAGAUGGCUUUUAGCUAYCACUUACAGAUGGACCCGCGGCGCAUUAGCUAGUUGGUGAGGUAACGGCUCACCAAGGCAACGAUGCGUAGCCGACCUGAGAGGGUGAUCGGCCACACUGGGACUGAGACACGGCCCAGACUCCUACGGGAGGCAGCAGUAGGGAAUCUUCCGCAAUGGACGAAAGUCUGACGGAGCAACGCCGCGUGAGUGAUGAAGGUUUUCGGAUCGUAAAGCUCUGUUGUUAGGGAAGAACAAGUGCCG